AGUGAACGCUGGCGGUAGGCCUAACACAUGCAAGUCGAACGGCAGCACAGUAAGAGCUUGCUCUUACGGGUGGCGAGUGGCGGACGGGUGAGGAAUGCAUCGGAAUCUACUUUUUCGUGGGGGAUAACGUAGGGAAACUUACGCUAAUACCGCAUACGACCCACGGGUGAAAGCAGGGGAUCUUCGGACCUUGCGCGAUUGAAUGAGCCGAUGUCGGAUUAGCUAGUUGGCGGGGUAAAGGCCCACCAAGGCGACGAUCCGUAGCUGGUCUGAGAGGAUGAUCAGCCACACUGGAACUGAGACACGGUCCAGACUCCUACGGGAGGCAGCAGUGGGGAAUAUUGGACAAUGGGCGCAAGCCUGAUCCAGCCAUACCGCGUGGGUGAAGAAGGCCUUCGGGUUGUAAAGCCCUUUUGUUGGGAAAGAAAAGCAGCAGGUUAAUACCCCGCUGUUCUGACGGUACCCAAAGAAUAAGCACCGGCUAACUUCGUG
rnacentral:rRNA from 1 species